ACGAACGCUGGCGGCGUGCUUAACACAUGCAAGUCGAACGGAAAGGCCCUGCUUGCAGGGUACUCGAGUGGCGAACGGGUGAGUAACACGUGGGUGAUCUGCCCUGCACUUCGGGAUAAGCCUGGGAAACUGGGUCUAAUACCGGAUAGGAGCCAUUUUUAGUGUGAUGGUUGGAAAGUUUUUUCGGUGUAGGAUGAGCUCGCGGCCUAUCAGCUUGUUGGUGGGGUAAUGGCCUACCAAGGCGGCGACGGGUAGCCGGCCUGAGAGGGUGGACGGGCAUAAUGAGACUGAAGUACGGCCCAGACUCCUAAGGGAGGGAGCAGUGGAGAAUAUUGCACAAUGGGCGCAAGCCUGAUGCAGCGACGCCGCGUGGGGGAAGACGGCCUUCGGGUUGUAAACUCCUUUCGCUAGGGACAAAGCAUUUUGUGACGGUACCUAGAGAAGAAGCACCGGCUAACUACGUG
rnacentral:rRNA from 1 species